GAUGAACGCUAGCUACAGGCUUAACACAUGCAAGUCGAGGGGCAUCAGGAAGAAAGCUUGCUUUCUUUGCCGGCGACCGGCGCACGGGUGAGUAACACGUAUCCAACCUGCCCUUUACUCGGGGAUAGCCUUUCGAAAGAAAGAUUAAUACCCGAUGGCAUAAUGAUUCCGCAUGGUUUCAUUAUUAAAGGAUUCCGGUAAAGGAUGGGGAUGCGUUCCAUUAGGUUGUUGGUGAGGUAACGGCUCACCAAGCCUUCGAUGGAUAGGGGUUCUGAGAGGAAGGUCCCCCACAUUGGAACUGAGACACGGUCCAAACCCCUACGGGAGGCAGCAGUGAGGAAUAUUGGUCAAUGGGCGGUAGCCUGAACCAGCCAAGUAGCGUGAAGGAUGAAGGCUCUAUGGGUCGUAAACUUCUUUUAUAUAAGAAUAAAGUGCAGUAUGUAUACUGUUUUGUAUGUAUUAUAUGAAUAAGGAUCGGCUAACUCCGUGCCAGCAGCCGCGGUAAUACGGAGGAUCCGAGCGUUAUCCGGAUUUAUUGGGUUUAAAGGGAGCGUAGGUGGACUGGUAAGUCAGUUGUGAAAGUUUGCGGCUCAACCGUAAAAUUGCAGUUGAUACUGUCAGUCUUGAGUACAGUAGAGGUGGGCGGAAUUCGUGGUGUAGCGGUGAAAUGCUUAGAUAUCACGAAGAACUCCGAUUGCGAAGGCAGCUCACUGGACUGCAACUGACACUGAUGCUCGAAAGUGUGGGUAUCANACAGG
rnacentral:rRNA from 1 species